GGGUGCGACCCUACCAGCUCUAAUGCACCGGA
rnacentral:rRNA from 1 species